CUCCCUCAAAGAUGAUGAGCAGGGCACACCGAUCUUCCUCAUGUUGAUAUGCCCAUGGCAUCGUCCUCCCUCAAAGAUGAUGAGCAGGGCACACCGAUCUUCCUCAUGUUGAUAUGCCCAUGGCAUCGUCCUCCCUCAAAGAUGAUGAGCAGGGCACACCGAUCUUCCUCAUGUUGAUAUGCCCAUGGCAUCGUCCUCCCUCAAAGAUGAUGAGCAGGGCACACCGAUCUUCCUCAUGUUGAUAUGCCCAUGGCAUCGUCCUCCCUCAAAGAUGAUGAGCAGGGCACACCGAUCUUCCUCAUGUUGAUACGCCCAUGGCAUCGUCCUCCCUCAAAGAUGAUGAGCAGCAUUUCCUGAAAAUGGUGCUGAAGGGGAAAAUCCUCAAAGGAAACAAAAAUCUCCAUGAUGUCCCACAGAGAUUGGAGCAGUGAGGAGACAUUUCUGUGGGCACAUUGCUAAUGGGAGACUAUCCAUUGUGAUUAAAAUCAAACAGUGUAAAAAUGCUCAAUGUCCUGUAUGAGACAGUCGCUCUUUUCAAAAUGUAAGCGACUUUGUCAUGAAUCAUGGUUUAAUGCUAAAAAAGAGGAACAGUUGUUAAAU